rnacentral:rRNA from 1 species
GCGGGACACGUGGUAUCCUGUCUGAAUAUGGGGGGACCAUCCUCCAAGGCUAAAUACUCCUGACUGACCGAUAGUGAACCAGUACCGUGAGGGAAAGGCGAAAAGAACCCCGGCGAGGGGAGUGAAAAAGAACCUGAAACCGUGUACGUACAAGCAGUGGGAGCCCCACCACCAAAGCAUUCUCUGGUGUUGAAGGCCCUGCAAAGCAGCAUCGCGGUGGCGGAGCGUCGUUUGCGACGCCCGACACACAAAACAAGCGGUGAGUGCUUUGGGGUGGGGUGACUGCGUACCUUUUGUAUAAUGGGUCAGCGACUUAUAUUCUGUAGCAAGGUUAACCGUAUAGGGGAGCCGGAGGGAAACCGAGUCUUAAUUGGGCGUUAAGUUGCAGGGUAUAGACCCGAAACCCGGUGAUCUAGCCAUGGGCAGGUUGAAGGUUGGGUAACACUAACUGGAGGACCGAACCGACUAAUGUUGAAAAAUUAGCGGAUGACCUGUGGCUGGGGGUGAAAGGCCAAUCAAACCGGGAGAUAGCUGGUUCUCCCCGAAAGCUAUUUAGGUAGCGCCUCGUGAAUUCAUCUCCGGGGGUAGAGCACUGUUUCGGCUAGGGGGUCAUCCCGACUUACCAACCCGAUGCAAACUGCGAAUACCGGAGAAUGUUAUCACGGGAGACACACGGCGGGUGCUAACGUCCGUCGUGAAGAGGGAAACAACCCAGACCGCCAGCUAAGGUCCCAAAGUCAUGGUUAAGUGGGAAACGAUGUGGGAAGGCCCAGACAGCCAGGAUGUUGGCUUAGAAGCAGCCAUCAUUUAAAGAAAGCGUAAUAGCUCACUGGUCGAGUCGGCCUGCGCGGAAGAUGUAACGGGGCUAAACCAUGCACCGAAGCUGCGGCAGCGACACUGUGUGUUGUUGGGUAGGGGAGCGUUCUGUAAGCCUGUGAAGGUGGCCUGUGAGGGUUGCUGGAGGUAUCAGAAGUGCGAAUGCUGACAUAAGUAACGAUAAAGCGGGUGAAAAGCCCGCUCGCCGGAAGACCAAGGGUUCCUGUCCAACGUUAAUCGGGGCAGGGUGAGUCGACCCCUAAGGCGAGGCCGAAAGGCGUAGUCGAUGGGAAACGGGUUAAUAUUCCCGUACUUGGUGUUACUGCGAAGGGGGGACGGAGAAGGCUAUGUUGGCCGGGCGACGGUUGUCCCGGUUUAAGCGUGUAGGUGUGUGUUCCAGGUAAAUCCGGUUCACUUUAACACUGAGGCGUGACGACGAGGCACUACGGUGCUGAAGCAACAAAUGCCCUGCUUCCAGGAAAAGCCUCUAAGCAUCAGGUAACAUCAAAUCGUACCCCAAACCGACACAGGUGGUCAGGUAGAGAAUACCAAGGCGCUUGAGAGAACUCGGGUGAAGGAACUAGGCAAAAUGGUGCCGUAACUUCGGGAGAAGGCACGCUGACACGUAGGUGAAGUGAUUUACUCA